CCGGCUGCAAGGGGGCGGGCGGCGCCGGGCGCCCGAGGAGGAGCCCGAGCAUCCCGGAGCCGGGGCCAGCCGGAGAGCGGGCGGCGAGGCUCCAUGGGCUGCUCACGGCAGCAUGGUGCUCGCCCUCAACGGCAGCCACCUCUCCGGUAACCCGCUGCGGCCGCUGGCGCUGGAGGAGCCGCGGGCGCUGGGCGGCGGCAGGAUGAUCGCCGGCUCCUGGCCCCCGCGCAGCCUGGCCAAGCUCGGCCCGUCGCCCCCCCCGUCGGCGCUGCCCACGGCGAGCCCCCUCCCCGCCAACGACUCCCAGUGCGGGGAGCAGAUCCUCAGCUACGGUAGCGCCGAGAAAGUUCUCAUCGGGGCCGUGCUCUGCCUCAUCACCCUGCUGACCAUCGCCGGCAAUUGCCUGGUGGUGAUCUCCGUGUGCUUCGUGAAGAAGCUGCGGCAGCCCUCCAACUAUCUCAUCGUCUCGCUGGCCCUGGCCGAUCUCUCGGUGGCCCUGGCCGUCAUGCCCUUCGUCAGCGUCACAGACCUUAUCGGCGGGGAGUGGAUCUUCGGGCGCCUCUUCUGCAACGUCUUCAUCGCCAUGGAUGUCAUGUGCUGCACGGCCUCCAUCAUGACCCUCUGUGUGAUAAGUAUCGACAGGUACCUGGGAAUCACAAGGCCCCUCACAUACCCUGUAAGGCAGAAUGGGAAGUGCAUGGCCAAGAUGAUCCUGUGUGUCUGGCUGUUGUCUGCCUCUAUCACCAUUCCCCCGCUCUUCGGCUGGGCCCAGAACGUCAAUGACGAAAAGGUUUGCCUCAUCAGUCAAGACUUUGGCUACACCAUUUACUCCACAGCAGUUGCAUUUUACAUCCCAAUGUCAGUGAUGCUUUUCAUGUACUAUCAGAUCUAUAAAGCUGCCAGGAGGAGUGCUGCUAAGCACAAGUUUUCUGGUUUUCCCCGUCUGGAAGAAAUGGAAGGGAUUUCUGUGAAUGGACUUGUAAAACUGCACAAGGAAUCUGAAGAAUGUACUAAUUUUUCACGACUCCUAAAGCACGACAAGAAAAACAUUUCCAUCUUUAAAAGAGAACAGAAAGCUGCCACCACCCUUGGGAUUAUUGUUGGGGCUUUCACAAUCUGCUGGCUGCCCUUUUUCCUCCUCUCAACUGCAAGGCCCUUCAUCUGUGGUACAGCGUGCAGCUGCAUCCCCCUCUGGGUGGAGAGAACAUUUCUGUGGCUGGGCUAUGCAAACUCCCUCAUUAACCCUUUUAUCUAUGCCUUCUUCAACCGGGACCUGAGGACAACCUAUCGCAACCUGCUGCAGUGCAGAUACAGGAACAUCAACCGCAAACUCUCGGCCGCGGGCAUGCACGAGGCUCUGAAGCUUGCAGAAAAGCCAGAAUUCGUUCUGUAAGGCCACUCAUCCUCUACUGUGAUCAUUUGCUGUUUUAUCACAUUGACUUUUCCCCCACAGGUUUGAAAGAAGUGUUGCAGGAGGAACCAGUUGAGCACUGUUAAUGCAGUCAGCAGGAAACAAGGUAGAGCCCACCUGUCCUAAUGGGCCUGGAAAAGCAAGAGCACCAUCUAGAGAAUUUGGGUCUAAGAGGAAUAUAAGAAAGGACGGAAGUGAAAUGUAGCACAGGAUGUUAGAGCUGUUAGUGAGGAAAAAGCAAAGUUGGCCUAAUCCGUUUGUUUGGCCCAAAAAAUGUUUAGUAGGUCUGAAUGUUGGAUGCACCUUGUGUCCAAGAGAUUCUUUGCUGUAAUAAAGACCUGAGAAUGGUGAAAAGUUAAUUUCCUUCCACUUCAGUAUUACAAAAAUAAAUCAUUAAAGAAGAAGCUGAAUCAAAGAACUUGUAUUCCUUAGAAAUAUUCUUUAUGAUAAAAACCCAUAUGUUCAUUAAACAUUAAUUUACUGGAUUGCCUGGAAAUGAACUAUGUUGUGAAAUUCAAUAUUGCCUUUGCACAGCAACUCUGGCACUGAAAGAAUAUGUCACACUUCCAAUGUGAUUAAAUAGUUUGAGUAAAGUCACAUGGACCAAGACCUACUGCUGCAUACAGCCCUGCAGCACAGUCAGCUGCAGUGCUGCUGUGCAAAUCACACCAGAAAUUGACAUUUGCCCAGCUGUCACUAAAGGCAAUUGCUUUCCUCUGGGAAAACAUCCUGCAGGAGUCCAGCUUUCCUCUACCAUCUGUUUCAGGUAAUGAGAGCCCAGGAAGGAAUAAAAGUUGUUAUGGUGCUUAUGCCAAUCCUGGAAGUUUUUUGAGAUAAACAUCCAUAUUUGAUCUCUGGAUGUGUUUGGAAAGAAAAACCAACGAAAAAAUACUCCAAAAAACAAAACACCACAAAGUUUCUCCAUACACCCAAAUCAAAAUAUAGACAAAUGGAACACCUUCUAGAUGGAGCUGUCUUUGAGGGGAAAAGUGAAGAAGCUGGGAAGAUUAGAAGAAUGUCCUACUGCCCAAGCACACAAAGAAGUUGAGAAGAAGAGAAAGUUUGCAGACAGAAUUCUAAUGGGAAAAGGCUUUAGGAAGAACAAGAAGGACAUAAUUGUUUGAGUUUGUGAACAGGAUAUUUCCCUUUUUUAAAAGGAGAAGUUCUGAUUUCUCCAGGGAAAAAGAGUCAUGACCAAAUGUGCUUCAGAGCAGCCAGAAAAAGUCGAGCCAGACCAGGAAGAAGAAAAAUGAAGAGUUGGCUUCUGAAGAACUGGAUGGAUUUAUAAAAUGUACUUCAUCUUCCUUUGAUGGGAGUGUGCUAAAAAUAUUCCAUGAGCUCAAUACAUUGCAUUAGAUACAUUUCUAUUGGAAGUGCUCACAUCUUGUUUGUUAUGGAAGAAAACGCUGUUACAUACAAAUGAAAAUAGUUUUCUGCCUGAGAAAGCCAAAUAAUUUCAGCAAUAAGUUUGACAAAGGGUGGGGGGAAUGCCACUAAAACUCAAAGAUAAAGCCUUGUACAGAUUUCCACCACAUUUAAUUAUGUAGAAGAACAUUUGUAUGUUUACCAUGCUUGUGGAUCCCAGCACUGGUAAUCAUAUUCAGGGACUGUCAGUGAUACUGAAUGUAUUUUGCUCUACUAAAAAAGAGAGAUUUUCAGGCAAAUGUUGUCUCUGUGGAUGCUUUCAGAGCUUGUGUUAAAGAGAAGCUGUACACCUGCAAUGGCAUUAAGAAUGGCAACAAUAAAAGCCAAAUUUUUGUUAAAGAUUUCUGUUGUAUUAAGUAAAUGUCUGUUACUUGUUGCAUACAUAUGGUUGGUUCUCCCAAACUUUUGUAAAAAGCUGCUUUCAGUUAUGCAGUGACAAAAGUUAAGGGACCAAAUUAGAAUGCACAUGUAUUACACCACAGCUAAUUUACACAUAUGAUUGCUUUAACGCAAUUUUCAUGAUCUGCCAAUUUAUAAAUUCCUGUCAUUUCAAUUCAAAUAUGUAUAAAAGGCUGGAGAGUUUCCACAGCGUUUGGCUUUUUGUCUUACUGCCUAGCUAGAGAAUUAUUUUUUUAUUUUUGAAAAUGUGUUUAAGAAGUGUUGUUUCUGCCAAUGGUUUGUUAUAAUUAAAACAGAUCCCUUUUGGCUUGACAAAAACUAAAUAGGUGAGUAUAAAUGACCAUUUUUCCCAGGGAAAAUUGAUUCAAGGCACUGUUUCUUAAAAAUGGCUUUUAAUUUUUUUUUUGAGCUUCUCUUAUUAACUUCCCUUCAGAGUUUCUAAACUAUGCACAGUUACACAAUGCACAAUUCAGAAGCAUAUCUCAUUCCCAAAGUCUGUCUUCUUUAAAGGUACAUCUCAAUGAGCAUUUGCCUUAUUUCCAUAGCUGUGGGAUUUGUGAUAAUCUAAUUCCUUGCAGUUUAACCAAAAUGCUGCUGGUAAAUCAUCCAGCAGCUACAUGUGCCAUUGGAGCUUCGGUUUCCUUUGUUUAAAUCAAUAUUAAAGUUCACCAUAACUGCCUAAAUAAGGAGUCAGACAUACCAGAACAGGCCAAUUAAUUCCUUAUUGGCAAGGAAUCAGCAUAGGAAGCAAAUCAAAUAUAUGUUAGGCCUAUGUAAAACCUAGAACAGAGAGCCUAAUCCUUAUUCUACACCUGAUCCUGACACCCUAGGCUGAUUCCUGUGGUUCCAUGACAGCACCAGGGUGGCAGAUUUUCAUUCACUAGGUCAGCAAGGCUAAUUUCAUUAUCUUACUCACUGUGAGCUCUGCAGCUGAAACAAAAUGAGUCUUACAGUUAAUUUUAUUUUCCAGAGGGAAUGACACAGAAAUGCUUUUUACUUGGUUAGCCUGAAGUAUUUAACAGGAAAAGGGACAGAUAUUGGCAAAGGCCAGUAGACCAGUUCUGGCUGCAUUUUAUGAGAAUACAUUCAGAGGAACUCAGCUGAAGGCAAAACUACAUUGGCAGAUUAUAUUAUAACUGAACCUAGUGAGAAAGGGAGAUGAUAGUUUCACAAAUGUACCAAGAAAAAAGGGGGGGAGGGGUUCAUUAAAAAAACAAACCCAAGCCUUUAAAUGAAGGGCAGUGGCAUGCUCUGAAAAUCAUUUUCAAGCUUUAUGGUCUCAGUUGCAUGUCCAUUUCACAAAGGCAAUGAAACAAUUUUACUUUGAUGAAUUAGACUGUCAUUUUCCUUGUUCAUGAUGCUGCGUCAAAACCUUAACUUGAAGUGAAAUAGAAAAAUUAUACGUUAUAUAUUUAAAGGACUUUUUUAAAAGCCCCAAAUAAAAAAUAGCUACCAGUAAAAUUUUUCUGUGAAAAUUUAUGAGUUCUUUAAUGUCAUUAUUUUAAGCGUAAGGGAAAAUGUGUGCGUUAAGAGGAACUUAAUAGAGGGCAAAAGAGUCAGAAAAAGCUUUUGGCUGCUACGGAGCUACAGUUCCAGGCAGAUGUAUCCAUACAUAUAUAUAACACACACACACUUAUGUCCCUUGAAUUUUAGGGCGGUACUUCCUCAUGAAAAGAAAGUAGUGAAUCUAUUAUUACCUGAUAAACAUUUGUUUAUUUUACUACCUAUUACAUUCCCAGAAUCUCACAGAAAUUAUGAGGCUCUCUGUGGCAUCACAAACCUAUAACGGUGCAGUUCUACCUGUUUUAGCACAAAAAGUUUUUCGCCCAGGAGCUUUCAGACACACAAACAGCACAGAGAACAUUAGGAACUACACAGUUCUGAUACUUGGCCAUAGGAAAUGAGGCUCAUUUUUUUUCCUGCUGUGACUCUCAGGUCUGUCACCUCUCAAAGCAAUGCACAAACCCACACAGCAGCAGCAAGGAGAGAGACCCAAGGCCAAGUGCAAAUACCAGCAAAUAAUGCACACAGUAUUUUAGAGGAUUAGGAGAGAAACGGGGCUGAUCAAAAGAGGUCAGGAGAUGAGACAGCCUGGUGGGAUAAGGAGUUCAGCUUUCAGCAGUUCCUGCAGCCCCCAGCACAUGGACCUGCCUCACACUGGGGUAAUCCAGGUCCCCAGGCUUGGGCGCAAUGACAGCAGAGGGGUGAGGCCAGAAGCAAGGCUCAGAACCUCUCCUCUGGGUCUGCUGAGGGCUACAUCUCUCUAGCCUUGUCACUGAAACCUGCUCUGGGAUGUGACACUGAGCAGUUUGCGUUUUCACAGGGCUGCCCUACGGUAGUUACCAUUGCAUUUAUCUGUUACCAUUGUCAUUUAAUAAAAUAAAUGACUUUUAAAAAUUGUAUACUCCUUGAUCUUUCACUAUCCACCUGAUCUUAUCUUUUCCCCAUGUACUCUUGUGGUUAACAGACCACUGAGAUAUUUGGUAGACAAGUCUACUGUACCUUUAUUAUAUCUCUCCUGCACUUCCCUUAUCUUUUUUUCUAGAUUAAUCUUUUUUUAUUCUACCAACUUAAAGCCUUUUCCUAGCUGUCCUCCUGAUUCUACUAGUAAAAUUCUUACUAAAUUAUGUGGCUCUAUCAAGUCAACAAAGUGAUGCAUUUGCUUCAGACAUGAUCACAAAAUAAAUUCAGUAAUAAAAAGAAUUUUUUUUUUAUUAUCACAAUAUACACUGAUUAAAAUGCUAUGUGGAAGCACAAAAAUAAUAUUUAUGUAUACUAUGUAAGCAGUCAGAUGAUCUCAAUUUUAAAAGAUAAGAGUGAAUUCUAUGUAUUAUUUUAGCCACCACAGACUUUUAAUAUGCAAAAUUCACCAGAGGAUUGAGAUGGAGCUCCAUUUCAGGUCAUAUAUUUAACCUUGACAAGAUCUGGUAAAACAAAGAUGGGUAACACAAGAGACUCCUUUCCCCAAAUAGCUUACCAAGAAAUACAAACACAAUAAAAUGAAGCUCUUCAUGUUGUAAUUAGCCUGUGCUGAAAACAUUGAGUAUCUUUUGUUGUAAUAUGAGUUUUAUUUGUAAGGAAAAAAAUUGCUGUCACUUACAUUGCAAAUUAUUCAAAUUUAUACAGCAGACUAAUUUAACAGAAAAGGAAAUAGGGUUCUUCUGUAUUAGGUACCAAGUUAUAAUAUGCUUUUAAAAUGUAUAAGCCUAGAGGAAUAUUAAAAUGUUAAUUUGGAUAGUAUUUAAAAGGUAAUUACUUUUAUACAAUAAAAGAAGAAGUCUACUGAAUACUAA